rnacentral:rRNA from 1 species
GACGAGCAUCACAAACGUUAUUCGGAAUUACUGGGCUUAAAGGGUGCGUAGGCGGUGCAGCAAGUCGGGAGUGAAAUCCCACAGCUCAACUGUGGAAUUGCUUUCGAUACUGCUGUGCUUGAGUGAGAUAGAGGUAAGCGGAACUUAGGGUGGAGCGGUGAAAUGCGUAGAUAUCGGGAGGAACACCGGUGGCGAAGGCGGCCUUCUGGACGGAUACUGACGCUGAUACGCGAAAGCGUGGGGAGCAAACAGG